AUUGAACGCUGGCGGCAUGCCUUACACAUGCAAGUCGAACGGUAACAGGUCUUCGGAUGCUGACGAGUGGCGAACGGGUGAGUAAUACAUCGGAACGUGCCUAGUAGUGGGGGAUAACUACUCGAAAGAGUGGCUAAUACCGCAUGAGAUCUACGGAUGAAAGCAGGGGAUCGCAAGACCUUGUGCUACUAGAGCGGCCGAUGGCAGAUUAGGGAGUUGGUGGGAUAAAAGCUUACCAAGCCGACGAUCUGUAGCUGGUCUGAGAGGACGAUCAGCCACACUGGACGAAGAAACGGCUCAGACUCCGACGGGAGGCAGCAGUGGGGAAUUUUGGACAAUGGGCGCAAGCCUGAUCCAGCAAUGCCGCGUGCAGGAUGAAGGCCUUCGGGUUGUAAACUGCUUUUGUACGGAACGAAAAGCCCCGGGUUAAUACCCUGGGGUCAUGACGGUACCGUAAGAAUAAGCACCGGCUAACUACGUGCCAGCCGCCGCCGUAA
rnacentral:rRNA from 1 species